rnacentral:rRNA from 1 species
GCAUAUCAAUAAGCGGAGGAAAAGAAACCAACAGGGAUUGCCCUAGUAACGGCGAGUGAAGCGGCAACAGCUCAAAUUUGAAAUCUGGCUUCGGCCCGAGUUGUAAUUUGCAGAGGAUGUUUCUGGCGCGGUGCCUUCCGAGUUCCCUGGAACGGGACGCCACAGAGGGUGAGAGCCCCGUAUGGUUGGACACCAAGCCUGUGUGAAACUCCUUCGACGAGUCGAGUAGUUUGGGAAUGCUGCUCAAAAUGGGAGGUAAAUCUCUUCUAAAGCUAAAUACCGGCCAGAGACCGAUAGCGCACAAGUAGAGUGAUCGAAAGAUGAAAAGCACCUUGAAAAGGGGGUUAAACAGUACGUGAAAUUGUUGAAAGGGAAGCGCUUGUGACCAGACUUGUGCCGGGCGGCUCAUCCGGGGUUCUCCCCGGUGCACUCCGCCCGGCUCAGGCCAGCAUCGGUUUUCGUUGGGGGAUAAGAACGGCAGGAACGUGGCCCUCCUUCGGGUGGGUGUUAUAGCCUGCCGUACGAUACCCUGACGGGGACCGAGGUUCGCGCUCCGCAAGGAUGCUGGCGUAAUGGUCAUCAGCGACCCGUCUUGAAACACGGACCAAGGAGUCGUCCAUUAGAGCGAGCGUUUGGGUGUCAAACCCGCACGCGUAAUGAAAGUGAAAUUAGGUGAGAGCUUCGGCGCAUCAUCGACCGAUCCUGAUGUUCUCGGAUGGAUUUGAGUAAGAGUUUUAACGGACGGACCCGAAAGACAGUGAACUAUGCUUGUAUAGGGUGAAGCCAGAGGAAACUCUGGUGGAGGCUCGCAGCGGUUCUGACGUGCAAAUCGAUCGUCAAAUAUGAGCAUGGGGGCGAAAGACUAAUCGAACUGUCUAGUAGCUGGUUACCGCCGA